GACGAACGCUGGCGGCGUGCCUAAUACAUGCAAGUUGAGCGCUGAAGGUUGGUACUUGUACCAACUGGAUGAGCAGCGAACGGGUGAGUAACGCGUGGGGAAUCUGCCUUUGAGCGGGGGACAACAUUUGGAAACGAAUGCUAAUACCGCAUAAAAACUUUAAACACAAGUUUUAAGUUUGAAAGAUGCAAUUGCAUCACUCAAAGAUGAUCCCGCGUUGUAUUAGCUAGUUGGUGAGGUAAAGGCUCACCAAGGCGAUGAUACAUAGCCGACCUGAGAGGGGGAUCGGCCACAUUGGGACUGAGACACGGCCCAAACUCCUACGGGAGGCAGCAGUAGGGAAUCUUCGGCAAGGGACGAAAGUCUGACCGAGCAACGCCGCGUGAGUGAAGAAGGUUUUCGGAUCGUAGAACUCUGUUGGUAGAGAAGAACGUUGGUGAGAGUGGAAAGCUCAUCAAGUGACGGUAACUACCCAGAAAGGGACGGCUAACUACGUG
rnacentral:rRNA from 1 species